GAAGUAGGCUACAAUUUGUGUUGUGUUCCUGUUUUAUCAUGAUAAGAGAAAUUAAAAUAUCAAUAUUAUAACAUAAAGAGAGUUUAGUUAGACGGUUAGAAAACAAUUUCAGACUAAUAUUUAUGAUGCAUCUAUCCAACGGCCAUAUCAAAAAUCAAAUAUGAAAUUGGGUUAACGAACAGGUUUCUGCGAAUGCAGUUCUGGAUUUCUGACCGGGGAAAUCCUUGAUCCGUUCUGGGAACUGCGAGGCUAUCUGAUAAUAAGAAGCGAAUACGAUAUUUGCAUUUUUAGCAAAGAGGAAAAGUGAACGCAGUGUAAAAGACUUACCAUAAGAGCAACAGAGAUGGGAACACGAGGAGAGUGAUGAUUUCUGAGAAAUCCCCACCCAUAGGAGACUAUUUCGGUCAUAGCGCAUGCGCAGUCUUUACUGGGAAUUCACAUUCCACAAUCUACUCUCCACACUUCACCGGCCGGCUAGGUAAAAAAUUUCUCCACUUCAUUAUUGUUAUUGGUUGUUAACGUGUGUGAAACAAAAAUAUCCACAGGAACUCACGUUUAUCUCUUCCAUAUACCGUGUCUUUGGUUGAACAGUAUUUGCUUUAAUCACGUAAGAAUAUUCAUCGUACUGUGUGCUGUAGAGUGUGACUGAUAACUACUGUGACCUCGUGGAGAGAAAGAGAGAGUGCAUUGCCCUCUCCUGGGUUCAGUGCCGUACUCACUCGGUACCCAGUUGAGCUGAAUUUUUUGGCAGUAAUAUUGCGUAAUUUUAUCGCAAAUCGGAGAGCCAAACGUGUCUUCUGAUCAGUGGUUCUGUUGAGUCAUCUUUUGCCAAAAUACUUGACUGUGAAUAAUUUUACUGCAGUAGUGAACCAAACGUGUGAUAGUGAGCAAAGGUACUUUUGAUCCUCAGCAAAAAGGAAAUUGUGAACAGGAAUUGUGAAUUUUAACAACAGUUGCUGCCCAGCAAUUCUAUCAGAGGGCCGGAUUCAAUUGAAAGUGUCAAGCGAAAGGAAAACGUACUUCAAAAGUAUUUCACGAUUUUCAAAAGUGCAAGAGGAUACUGAAUUACCGACCUUCAAACCAUCCAAAAUGAAAGUCAACAGGGAGAACAGGCGCAUCGGCAAAGAUGUAGCCAACCUUCUACACGAGGCCAUGAAAGAGAACGACUGACAUGCGGACUGACAGCAGCUGUUAGGCAACUCGACUUGGAUCCUCACAGAGUGGCCUUCUGCGUUCUCCCGCAGCUGGCCGAUGGAGACAGGGCCAACCACAUCCACACUGUGCUCCUACAAGCAUUCUGUUAUGAGCGCAACAUUGCUAUUAUACAGGUGGAAAACAUAGAAGGACUGCGAUAUCACACGAGAGCACCGGACUGCAGCUGUGUAGUUGUUUUGCAUCCCUGGGAAAAAGGAAGAGAGAUGUGUGCUGAGCACGACUUGCUUAGAAGAAUUCACGACUUCACUUCCAUCCUACAGACUCAAAACCAAUUUUCAAGUUGCCGAUGAAGUGACUGCACUAAGAAAGUCUUCAAGAAUGAACUUCAAGUGUACAAUAUUCUUGUUCAUCAGACAUGAUCGUUUAGAGAUAUCUAGACUAUCAGAUCGAUGAACUCAUACAUAGGCUACUUCAUGGUGUUGGCUCCAGUGGAAGCCAAUAAAUGUAUGUAGGCUAUAAAUGAUGUACGUACGGUAUAAUGCCUGUAUUUGUUAUCGGUUCAAUCAAGAUUGAAGUAUGAUCGGUCUAAUAUAAGAUUGCCGAAUCUAGGUCACAAAAUGGAGCAACAUCAAUGUUAAUUUGUCAAAAACUGGAUGUGAUCAAGUAAUCGAGAGUGUUGUGAAUUCAUCAAUUUUGUUAAUGCUUUAAAGUCAUCACAUUUAGGUUUGUUCGCAUUAACAAAAAUUAUAUAUUACAUUAGCCUACUAUAAUGUAAUUCGCGUUAUAAUUCCAGAUUCAGUUUAUUUAUAUCUCUGUGUAGAAAACCCCACUUCGAUCAAUCAAUCUAUUCAUUUUCAAAGCAACACUUAAGAAAAUAAGUUUGAAACUUGAUUUUUUUAAAGAUUUGAUUCACAGAGAGGCUGCUACUGGUUAGAAAAUAUUAGAGUUUGUAUGGUUUUUCUUACCUCUAAUAUCAAAUUGCUUCUGAAUGUUAUCAGAAAGUAAAGAAAAAUAAAAUUUAAUGAAAAAAGUGUUAAGGCUACUAUUUAAAUUUUGUUGUGAAGUGGAUUUUUUGAUACAUUAAUCGAUUCGCCCAUGAAAGAUUUGCUGUACAAUAUUCUAUUCAUUGAUUCAAAAUAACUUAAUAGAUGACUCAGCCAAGAAUGAGUACGGUAAAUAAAUUACACUGUAUGUAUUUUGUAAUUUUUAGAACGAUUAUUUCACAAAUAGAUUAUAAAAUUUAGAAUUAUUAUACUUAUAGAUUUUGUUUGUUAGUUUCAAUCGAUUUUAUAUAUGAUAUACAUAUUUAUUUAUCAAAUUAUAGAUCAUUUUAAUUUCUAAUUACAUAAAUAACAUUAUUAUGUU